rnacentral:rRNA from 1 species
GGACUACAGGGGUUUCUAAUCCUGUUUGCUCCCCGCACUUUCGCGCAUCAGCGUCAGGAGAAAGCUAGAGAACCGCCUUCGCCACCGGUGUUCUUCCACAUAUCUACGCAUUUCACCGCUACACGUGGAAUUCCGUUCUCUCCGCCUUUCCUCUAGAUCCACAGUUUCAAAUGCAGCACCGAAGUUGAGCUUCGGUAUUUCACAUCUGACUUACAGAUCCGCCUACGCGCCCUUUACGCCCAAUAAUUCCGAUUAAUGCUUGCACCCUACGUAUUACCGCGGCUGCUGGCAC